UGUGUGUGUGUGUGUGUGUGUGUGUGUUGGACUAAUUGGUGUAAGAAUUUUAUUUGGCUUUCAAAUGGUGAAACUAACCUCCUCUACUGGACAAUGUUGGCAGUUUUGGGUCCCUUGGCUAGGACAAUAUUAUGAUGCCAACCAUUCUUUCUUGUCCUUUGCAGAAAAGCAACAAGUGAAAUGAUGUGUAUGCAUUGUUUGAAGGUUCAACCAGUUGGUCCAACUUGCAGUACACCUUCCUGUGCUGGAUUCUCGAUGGCGAAAAAUGUGUACCACUGCCCAUUAGGCAACUUAUGUUGUGUUGGAAAAGGACUUGGCAUAGACUUCUUUCAUUGCAUGACAUGCAAUUGUUGCUUGGGUAUGAAAUUGAAGGAGCACAAGUGCCGGGAGAAAGGUCUAGAGACAAACUGUCCGAUUUGUUGUGAUUUUCUGUUUACAUCAAGUGCAGCAGUAAGAGCUCUGCGCUGUGGACAUUUCAUGCAUUCUGCAUGCUUCCAAGCGUACACUUGCAGUCAUUACACCUGCCCAAUUUGCAGCAAAUCCUUGGGAGACAUGGCCGUGUACUUUGGCAUGAUUGAUGCCUUGUUGGCUGCUGAAGAGCUUCCUGAAGAGUACCGGGAUCGAUGUCAGUGAGAUUAUCAUCCAGUCGUAUGAGUGUCGAAGAAAGAGAAAUGAGCCAAUGAUUUCUCAGGUGCUGUAAUUUGCUACCCACAGGCUUCUGAAAUAACCAAGGCUGAUCACAUCAAAGUUGAAACCUCCCCCAGGCAUUGCAACACAGUGCAGUAGAAACUGCUGUCUGAUGAAUCCAAGCACUCACAAGAUGGAUUCCCCUCUUCAGCAAGCACAUGACCAAUAGUGCAUCUUGCUCUGCUUCCCCUCCAAGCACCUCUGACAAUUGGGAAGAACAAACUGCCACUCUGCUAAUCCGAACGACAACGAGGAUCUCUCUGUGGAACCACAGUCUGGUCUGCAUCCUAGAGGAAGAAGGAAUGCAGAAGAAUUCAUUAGGGUUAUCCCAUCUCUAAAUGUAGAGAUAUAGAUGGGCAUAUCUGAACACAGAUCAAUAGCAGCUGAUGGUUCAGACUUCCUAUGAGCAAUCAGUGAAUAUACACAGAGAGAUGGAACUCAGGAAAAGAAUCAUGUCUCACCAUUUUGGAUGAUGCAAGCAAGAUUUGUCACACCUGAUCUACAUUUGGGUUUGCAGCUAUCACUUGACAAAAGCUGAACAUGCAAGAUAAAGAUAUAAUCCGCCUUUCUCAUCAUCCUGAAGAAAAUGAUGACCGGAAUGAUUUGUCUCAGUACAACUUUGCCUACAAGAGUAGUACAACAUGCAACUUUCAACCCAUCAUUUUGCCACAUGAAAACUGUCUUCAACAGAGGUUUGUACAUCUUUCAGAAAUAAGCAUGAAUUAUUCAGUUUUUGUCACUCCCGGAUAAUUAAUUGAUGUCCAGCUGCCUUUCUAUGUCUUCAUGAGUUUGAGCAUCAUGUCUCUUAGGGCUGCUAUUUUUCUCAAAUCAACAUGCAUGUAGACCUGUGUGUAGGAACAUAAACCAAAUUGAUGCUUAAAUUGACUGUUUAUCAUGUAGUUGUUGCCUUCAGUACUCUACCAAUCUUAAAUUGUUGCCAUCAGUAUCCUAUCGAUCU